CCUAACACAUGCAAGUCGAGCGAGAAAAGGGGGGCAACUCCCUGAGUACAGCGGCGCACGGGUGAGUAACACGUGGGUAAUCUGCCCUGGAGUGGGGAAUAACACCGGGAAACCGGUGCUAAUACCGCAUACGAUCACGAUGUCUGCGGACGUUGUGAUGAAAGGAGCAAUUCGCUCCAGGAGGAGCCCGCGGCUGAUUAGCUAGUUGGUGAGGUAACGGCUCACCAAGGCUACGAUCAGUAUCCGGUCUGAGAGGACGGCCGGACACACUGGAACUGAGACACGGUCCAGACUCCUACGGGAGGCAGCAGUGGGGAAUUUUUGGCAAUGGGGGCAACCCUGACCAAGCAACGCCGCGUGGGUGAUGAAGUCUCUUGGGACGUAAAACCCUUUCGACGGGGAAGAAACCGCA
rnacentral:rRNA from 1 species